GGGGAAUUUUGGACAAUGGGGGAAACCCUGAUCCAGCCAUCCCGCGUGUGCGAUGAAGGCCUUCGGGUUGUAAAGCACUUUUGUCAGGGAAGAAAAGGUUCUGGCUAAUACCCGGAACUGAUGACGGUACCUGAAGAAUAAGCACCGGCUAACUACGUGCCAGCAGCCGCGGUAAUACGUAGGGUGCAAGCGUUAAUCGGAAUUACUGGGCGUAAAGCGUGCGCAGGCGGUUCGGAAAGAAGGAUGUGAAAUCCCAGGGCUCAACCUUGGAACUGCAUUCUUAACUACCGAACUAGAGUAUGUCAGAGGGGGGUAGAAUUCCGCGUGUAGCAGUGAAAUGCGUAGAUAUGCGGAGGAAUACCGAUGGCGAAGGCAGCCCCCUGGGAUAAUACUGACGCUCAUGCACGAAAGCGUGGGUAGCAAAC
rnacentral:rRNA from 1 species